rnacentral:rRNA from 1 species
ACCUACGGGGCGCAGCAGUGGGGGAUAUUGCACAAUGGGGGGAACCCUGAUGCAGCGACGCCGCGUGGGUGAAGAAGCGCCUCGGCGCGUAAAGCCCUGUCAGCAGGGAAGAAAAUGAUGGUACCUGAAGAAGAAGCCCCGGCUAACUACGUGCCAGCAGCCGCGGUAAUACAUAGGGGGCAAGCGUUAUCCGGAUUUACUGGGUGUAAAGGGGGCGCAGACGGCGAUGCAAGCCAGGAGUGAAAGCCCGGGGCCCAACCCCGGGACUGCUCUUGGAACUGCGUGGCUGGAGUGCAGGAGGGGCG